rnacentral:tRNA from 1 species
CAAGAAAUAGUUUAAUUAGAAUAUCAGUUUUGGGUACUGAUGGCGUGGCUUUUUUGCUUCUUUCUUGA